rnacentral:piRNA from 1 species
GAGUCGUUUAGUGGGUGGGUCCUAAAAUC